AUGACCAGAAAGGACACAGUGACAGGAACUCUGGUGAUCUAUGACCUCAGCUUUUCAGACUCUGCUGUCUAUUACUGUGCUGCCAAAGAACACAAUUUUAGUGAAGGAGUGUUGAUUACUCAGUGGCCAAAGUACAUCUCCAGUGUUGCAGGUUCUUCAGUGGUAAUGCACUGUUAUCAAAAUGACACAAACUAUGAUUACAAAUACUGGUACAGGCAAAUAAAAGAUGAAGGACCAGUGCUGAUUGUGAGUAUAAUUGGAACCGCUACCCCUUAUGAGAAGGGUUUUGACACUGGCUUUAAAGCAUCAGGUACAGAGACAAAGAAAUGGUCUCUGGAGAUGGAUGUUAAGGAGGGAAGUGAUGCUGUGUAUCUAUGUGCUGCUAGACUACACGGUGACUGA